rnacentral:rRNA from 1 species
GACGGGGGCCCGCACAAGCGGUGGAGUAUGUGGUUUAAUUCGAUGCAACGCGAAAACCUUACCUACCCUUGACAUGUCUGGAACCUUGGUGAGAGCCGAGGGUGCCUUCGGGAGCCAGAACACAGGUGCUGCAUGGCUGUCGUCAGCUCGUGUCGUGAGAUGUUGGGUUAAGUCCCGCAACGAGCGCAACCCUUGUCACUAGUUGCCAUCAUUUAGUUGGGCACUCUAGUGAGACUGCCGGUGACAAACCGGAGGAAGGUGGGGAUGACGUCAAGUCCUCAUGGCCCUUAUGGGUAGGGCUUCACACGUCAUACAAUGGUCGGUACAGAGGGUUGCCAACCCGCGAGGGGGAGCUAAUCCCACAAAGCCGAUCGUAGUCCGGAUCGCAGUCUGCAACUCGACUGCGUGAAGUCGGAAUCGCUAGUAAUCGUGGAUCAGCAUGUCACGGUGAAUACGUUCCCGGGUCUU